GGAAUCUUCGGCAAUGGGGGCAACCCUGACCGAGCAACGCCGCGUGAGUGGAGAAGGUUUUCGGAUCGUAAAGCUCUGUUGUAAGAGAAGAACGUGUGUGAGAGUGGAAAGUUCACACAGUGACGGUAACUUACCAGAAAGGGACGGCUAACUACGUGCUAG
rnacentral:rRNA from 1 species